UACGGAGGGUGCAAGCGUUGUCCGGAAUCACUGGGCGUAAAGGGCGCGUAGGCGGCUCAUGAAGGCUGUGGUGAAAGUCCGGGGCUCAACCUCGGAUCGGCCGUGGCGACUCGUGGGCUGGAGCACUGUAGAGGCGGGUGGAAUUCCGGGUGUAGCGGUGGAAUGCGUAGAGAUCCGGAAGAACACCAGUGGCGAAGGCGCCCGCUGGGCAGUGGCUGAACGCUGAGGC
rnacentral:rRNA from 1 species